AUACCCGCCCCCUCCCGAGCCCCCCGCGAUGGCCGACACGGGGGUGUGCGGAGAGCGGGGGGCCCGUCUGCUCCCCGCGGCGGAGGGGAGAGGGAUGUGCAGCAAAACGCUGCCUCUGGGACAGGUGCCAGCUCCCAGACAAAAGGAGUGGAAUAGGCUGUAAAGAGGGAGUGGGGGAAAUUAAUAGCCGGCAAAAAAUAGGAGCCGAGAGCCUCGGGAGGAGCCCUGGCGGGAGCGCGCUGCUUCGCCGGCCUCUUCGCCGGGUAUUCCCGAGCUGCAGGGCGGAAGGAGAAAGUUGUGGCAUACUUUUUAUUCCCCCGUCUUCUCUUCAGACGUUGGAAAGCGUGAAGGGAGGGUGGAGGGGGCGCCUUUUUUUUUUUUUUUUUUUCCCACCCUCCUCUUACUGAAUUAUUCAUAGUGUCAGCGGUGAAGCCGGGACUAUUAGCAUGCAUCAGACAUGCUGUUUGUCUGUUUGCUAACAUUCUUCAUUCAAGACUUGUUAACUACCAGACAAGCUUAACAUGCUUCUCUCUUUCUCCUCCCCUUCUCUCUCCCUCCCCUCUCCCUUCCCUUCCCCUCCAUGCCACCCCUCGCAGCCUCCCAUUGUUGUCGCUGGGAGCUGGCAGCAGCUGUGGCAGGGGGAGCGUGCGGAGGAGCCGCCAGCCGCCCGCUAGUGUUUCAGCAUGGAUGUAGCCCAGAUGUGUGAAAUACACAGCAGCAGAAUUUGAGUUUUGAAGUGAAAUAGUGCUUCCUUAUCUGAAGCAUCCUUCAAAAUGCAAGAUUAGAAGUUUCCUACAACGUCGUCUUCAAGACUCCCAGAAAAUUUUUCUGCAACUUGUGAUUCUACAUGAGUAUCCAGCCUUUUGCCUUGCCUGGGCUGCAAGUGUGACCCUGAGUGAAGAGGAAUUAUAUGAAUAUAUGAAUGUGUCCUGAAUAAGACUUGGUCAGAGCAGAUGGAAAUGUAGGAACUUCAAGGAGGAGUUCUCUUUUUGAAGUGAGUUUUCCUUUGGGCUCCUGCACCACGAGACAGCAGACCUUCAACUCAACCAGGGGCCAUUCUUCAUUCACCUGCUGCUUGCAUGCCUGAGAAGACAUGUAAAGGAGAACCCAACAGUGAAACUUCAGCAUUACUGUGGCUUGUAUGAAGGGAGAAGCGUGUCUUACCUACGCUGCCUGGAAAAAGAUGAUGUAGUAGCCUGGCAAAAUGAACUCAAGAAACAAGAAGAAGACACUAGAGACUGAUCUGCAAGUUGUUCAGCACUCACAGCUAUCUAAGGAGCUGAGGAUAAAGUUGGCUCUUUCCUGACUUCCACUGGAGAAAAGUGAAAAGGCAACAUCUGAAGAAGGCACUGUCAAACUCCCAUUGAUUCAGGAGAACUGAAUUACAUCCUGGGAUCUGAGUAAGCCAGAGGUUCACUGAUAAGAUGCAAACCAGAAUCAGCCUAUUGGUAGUCUUUCCAGACAUGAUUCAGAGCUAACAAGGGAGAUUGAGAAGUACCAUGACUCCAAACAGAACCAUUUUGCUGUGCAGAAUGGCAUGCAGAUGAACUAGCACAUUUCAGAAUAAGUUCAAUAGAGAACAAAGUAUUAUGUCACUGGCUGAGUAGAAGAAGAGGACCUGAUCUCUGACUACAAAAGAAAAAUAAAGAAUUGCUAAGAGUGUGGCUUUGAGAAAAAUAAGCCUGACUAUUUUAGUACUAAGAGAAAUGACCAAGUUACAAGAUGAACUAACGAAGUUAGAAGAGGAAAGAAGUGAAGAUUGGUCAUCUGUGCAAAGAAAAUGACAAGGGGUGCCCCCUGGGCUGUGGUAUGAUGGGAUAAUAACAACGGAAAGAGAAAGCUGGUGCUGUGAAUGGCCAUCUGAGAAAAUGUACAGAGAAGCUGCUGUCUGCUUUUUCACUUGCUGCCACUCACCUUAUAAUUGUUUCAGUGUGCACUGAAAUGAAGUUGAAACAUGCGUGUUUUCUCUUUCUGCAUCCCCAUAUUGAGUGUGCUAAGAGCAGUGGAAGAUCCCAUCAGUUGCCCUGAAACAUGACCUACCUACUUUGGGGUGAGAUCUGUUUUGUUGUAAAGGAUGGCUUUAGUUCUGUGUGUAUCAUGUAUUCUUGUCUUUAAUUUGCAGUUAACAAAAAAAAGUUUUGCUUGGAGAAGGCUCCAGGAAGUCCUCAUUGUGGCCUUCCAAUACUUGA